rnacentral:tRNA from 1 species
GGUGGCUCAGUGGUAGAGUGUUUGCCUUGCAUGCAGGAGACCCUGGGUUCGAUUCCUUGGCACCA